UACGUAGGGGGCAAGCGUUGUCCGGAUUUAUUGGGCGUAAAGAGCGUGUAUGCGGCCAGGUAGGUCUGCUGUGAAAACUCGAGGCUUAACCUCGAGAUGUCGGCGGAAACCAUCUGGCUAGAGUCCGGAAGAGGAGAAUGGAAUUCCCGGUGUAGCGGUGAAAUGCGCAGAUAUCGGGAAGAACACCCGUGGCGAAGGCGGUUCUCUGGGACGGUACUGACGCUGAGACGCGAAAGCGUGGGGAGCGAACAGG
rnacentral:rRNA from 1 species